rnacentral:rRNA from 1 species
UGCAGUCGAGGGAGAACCAUUCGAUCCGUAAGGACUGGAUGGGGAAACCGGCGAACGGGUGCGUAACACGUGAGGAACCUGCCCCGAAGACCGGGAUAGCCCGAGGAAACUCGGAUUAAUACCGGAUACCCUCUUUGGACCACAUGGUCUGCUGAGGAAAUGGUCCGCCGCUUCGGGAUGGCCUCGCGGCCUAUCAGCUUGUUGGUGAGGUAACGGCUCACCAAGGCAAAGACGGGUAGCUGGUCUGAGAGGACGAUCAGCCACACUGGGACUGAGACACGGCCCAGACUCCUACGGGAGGCAGCAGCAGGGAACAUUGCACAAUGGGCGAAAGCCUGAUGCAGCGACACCGCGUGCGGGAUGAAGGCCCUCGGGUUGUAAACCGCUUUCAGGAGGGACGAAAAUGACGGUACCUCCAGAAGAAGGCCCGGCCAACUACGUGCCAGCAGCCGCGGUAAUACGUAGGGGCCAAACGUUGUCCGGAUUUAUUGGGCGUAAAGGGCUCGUAGGCGGUUCAACAAGUCGAUCGUGAAAGCCCGGGGCUCAACCCCGGGACGCCGGUCGAAACUGUUGUGACUAGGGUCCGGUAGAGGUGAGUGGAAUUCUCGGUGUAGCGGUGGAAUGCGCAGAUAUCGAGAGGAACACC